GCCGGGAUCGCCUAGCCUGGUUAGGGCGGCGGCCUGCUAACAUGGCGGGCAGCCGUUGGGGGAAACCCCGCGCGGGUUCAAAUCCCGCUCCCGGCG
rfam:Metallosphaera yellowstonensis MK1 genomic scaffold MetMK1scaffold_19, whole genome shotgun sequence.